rnacentral:miRNA from 1 species
UACUUCUCCGUGCCACAGUA